rnacentral:rRNA from 1 species
AUGUCAACCUGCACGUUUGCGACCUCCUGCGUGCUCUUGGGCAAUGCUCGGACAACCGAUGUCCCCCAGAAAGCGCUCAAGAGCCGUGUGAGCUUCCUUGGCCGAGGCGCGCUGCAGCUGCCGAGCCUGAGGUCCUCCUCAAAGAAGAAGCUGGAUGUCUCAGCGGCGGCCACGUACAAGGUGAAGCUGGUGACCCCGGAAGGGGAGGAGCACGAGUUUGAGGCGCCGGACGACGCCUACAUCCUGGACUCGGCGGAGACGGCGGGGGUGGAGCUGCCCUACUCGUGCCGGGCGGGGGCAUGCUCGACCUGCGCGGGCAAGAUCGAGGCGGGCGCGGUGGACCAGUCGGACGGGUCGUUCCUGGACGACGCGCAGCAGGAGGAGGGCUACGUGCUGACGUGCGUCGCCUACCCCAAGUCGGACUGCGUCAUCCACACCCACAAGGAGGGCGACCUGUAUUAG